GUGCCCGCUUCGGCAGCACAUAUACUAAAACUGGAACUAUACAGAGAAGAUAGCAUGGCCCCUGCACAAGGAUGACGCGCAAAUUCGUGAAGCGUUCCAUAUUUCU
rnacentral:snRNA from 1 species